rnacentral:rRNA from 1 species
GACGAACGCUGGCGGCGUGCUUAACACAUGCAAGUCGAACGGAAAGGCCUGCUUUCCCUUGUGGAUUGCGGGUACUCGAGUGGCAAACGGGUGAGUAACACGUGAGUGAUCUGCCCCCAACUUGGGUAUAAGCCUGGGAAACUGGGUCUAAUUCCCGAUAGGACUGCAGGGUGGUGCCUGUGGUGGAAAACGAUUUUCUAGUGGUUGGGGAUGAGCUCGCGGCCUAUCAGCUUGUUGGUGGGGUAAUGGCCUACCAAGGCGGCGACGGGUAGCCGGCCUGAGAGGGUGGACGGCCACAUUGGGACUGAGAUACGGCCCAGACUCCUACGGGAGGCAGCAGUGGGGAAUAUUGCACAAUGGGCGGAAGCCUGAUGCAGCGACGCCGCGUGGGGGAUGACGGCCUUCGGGUUGUAAACUCCUUUCGACCGCGAGGAAGCCACCUGGUUGGAAGGGUGGUGACGGUAGUGGUAGAAGAAGCACCGGCUAACUACGUG